ensembl:snoRNA
ACUGCCCCUAGAGGUGUUGCAUUUGUGCCAUUAUGUGGCAGAGAGAAGAGAGACUAUGUCUAUGCUCAAUGUUCUGAUUCAUGACCAUUUGAAUGAUUAUUACUCUGACACU